CUGGGAGGACCAUCUCCUAAGGCUAAAUACUCUCUAGUGACCGAUAGUGAACCAGUACCGUGAGGGAAAGGUGAAAAGCACCCCGGAAGGGGAGUGAAAUAGAACCUGAAACCGUGUGCUUACAAGUAGUCAGAGCCCGUUAAUGGGUGAUGGCGUGCCUUUUGUAGAAUGAACCGGCGAGUUACGAUUUGAUGCAAGGUUAAGCAGUAAAUGUGGAGCCGUAGCGAAAGCGAGUCUGAAUAGGGCGUUUAGUAUUUGGUCGUAGACCCGAAACCAGGUGAUCUACCCUUGGUCAGGUUGAAGUUCAGGUAACACUGAAUGGAGGACCGAACCGACUUACGUUGAAAAGUGAGCGGAUGAACUGAGGGUAGCGGAGAAAUUCCAAUCGAACCUGGAGAUAGCUGGUUCUCUCCGAAAUAGCUUUAGGGCUAGCCUCAAGUGAUGAUUAUUGGAGGUAGAGCACUGUUUGGACGAGGGGCCCCUCUCGGGUUACCGAAUUCAGACAAACUCCGAAUGCCAAUUAAUUUAACUUGGGAGUCAGAACAUGGGUGAUAAGGUCCGUGUUCGAAAGGGAAACAGCCCAGACCACCAGCUAAGG
rnacentral:rRNA from 1 species